rnacentral:rRNA from 1 species
UACGUAGGGAGCGAGCGUUAUCCGGAAUUAUUGGGUGUAAAGGGUGCGUAGACGGGUUAUCAAGUUAGUUGUGAAAUCCCUCGGCUCAACUGAGGAACUGCAACUAAAACUAUUAAUCUUGAGUGCAGGAGAGGUAAGUGGAAUUCCUAGUGUAGCGGUGAAAUGCGUAGAUAUUAGGAGGAACACCAGUGGCGAAGGCGACUUACUGGACUGUAACUGACGUUGAGGCACGAAAGUGUGGGGAGCAAACAGG